UACGGAGGGUGCGAGCGUUUCCCGGAUUUACUGGGUGUAAAGGGCGUGUAGGCGGUCUCUCAAGUCCGAUGCUAAAGACCGAGGCUCAACCUCGGGAGUGCGUUGGAUACUGUGAGGCUAGACGGUCGGAGAGGGCAGCGGAAUUCUCGGAGUAGCGGUGAAAUGCGCAGAUACCGAGAGGAACGCUAAUCGCGAAGGUAACAGCCUGGUCGAGUUAUGACGGUCAGGCGUGAAAGCGUGGGGAGCAAACCGG
rnacentral:rRNA from 1 species